rnacentral:rRNA from 1 species
UUGGAGCUUGCUCCGAUCGGAUUAGUGGCGGACGGGUGAGUAACGCGUAUGCAACUUACCUAUCAGAGGGGGAUAACCCGGCGAAAGUCGGACUAAUACCGCAUGAAGCAGGGGCCCCGCAUGGGGAUAUUUGCUAAAGAUUCAUCGCUGAUAGAUAGGCAUGCGUUCCAUUAGGCAGUUGGCGGGGUAACGGCCCACCAAACCGACGAUGGGUAGCCGAGCUGAGAGGCUGAUCGGCCACACUGGAACUGAGACACGGUCCAAACUCC